CUUUUGAACUGUGGUGUUGGAGAAGACUCUUGAGAGAGUCCCUUGGACUGCAAGGUGAUCCAACCAGUCCAUCCUAAAGGAGAUCAGUCCUGAAUAUUCAUUAGAAGGACUGAUGCUGAAGCUGAAACUCCAAUACUUUGGCCAUCUGAUACAAAGGGCUGACUCAUUGGGAAAGACCCUGAUGCUGGGAAAGAUUGAAGGUGGGAGAAGGGGACGACAGAGAAUGAGAUGGUUGGAUGGCAUCACUGACCGGAUGGACAUGAGUUUGAGUAAACUCUGGGAGUUGGUGAUGGACAGGGAAGCCUGGUGUGCUGCCCUCCAGGGGGUCACAAAGAGUCGGACACGACUGAGUGACUGAAAUAAACUGAACGAUCCAGUUUCCCUCUGUUCCCUUUGUGUCCCAGGCAACUAGCUACCUUGAGACAAUUAGCGGUCCUGCUCAGCCACUGGACAGUGCCUCAGUGGGCCCUUCCCCCAAGCGAGCAACUGCCAAUGAGUGACCGUUAGUGGUCCUGCUCAGCCAUUGGUCAGUGCCUCAGUGGGUCCCACCCACAAGCAAGCAACUGUCAGUGAGGUCAGAGGGAGUGGUGGGCCUCAGGCGGUGUUUGAGGUGUAAAUAAUCUCUCCAGAAUGGAAUGGCCCAAGCCUUGUGAUGCUAUUUUCCUGCAAACAGGUGACUGGAUCAUGUAGCAAGUGGGACACAAAAGCUCAGAGCCGAGGCGGUGCUGUCAAAAGAGCUGGUCAUGUGGUUCCCUGAAGUGAGACUCAGUUGUAGAACAGGCCUGGACACGAUGAGGAUACUGAAUCCCUGAGAGGUUCCAUGACUCUCUGUAGAUCACCUGGCAGAUGGCAGAACUCGGACUGAACUCAGUAAACAGGGUCCAGUCUACCUGACUUCCAAAGCUCCAGUUUUCAUUGUUUUAAUGAAACGUGU
ensembl:lncRNA